rnacentral:misc_RNA from 1 species
AGCAGCCGCGGUAAUUCCAGCUCCAAUAGCGUAUAUUAAAGUUGUUGCAGUUAAAAAGCUCGUAGUUGAAUUUCGGGGUUAGUAGGUUGGUCAUGCCUCUGGUAUGUACUGGUCUCACUGAUUCCUCCUUCCUGAUGAACCUUAAUGCCAUUAAUUUGGUGUUUUGGGGAAUUUGGACUGUUACUUUGAAAAAUUAGAGUGUUUAAAGCAAGCUAACGCUUGAAUACAUUAGCAUGGAAUAAUGAAAUAGGACGUUCGAUCCUAUUUUGUUGGUUUCUAGGAUUGACGUAAUGAUUAAUAGGGAUAGUUGGGGGCAUUAGUAUUCAAUUGUCAGAGGUGAAAUUCUUGGAUUUAUUGAAGACUAACUACUGCGAAAGCAUUUGCCAAGGAUGUUUUCAUUAAUCAAGAACGAAAGUUAGGGGAUCGAAGACGAUCAGAUACCGUCGUAGUCUUAACCAUAAACUAUGCCGACUAGGGAUCGGAUGAUGUUAAUUUUUAUGACUCAUUCGGCGCCUUACGG